CUGGGGUCACCAAGCUGCAACCACUUCUGCUGCUUCCAGGGUCUUCUGAGUCACAUGUUCCUCCACUGUCUCUCAGUGGGCUCAGAUGCUCCUUCCUUGUGUACCACCUGCACUGCUGUUCCCAUGUUGUCUUGGGGUGCUGGUUACAUCACUGCCAUGGGUGCUGGGUUCAUGAGUGUUGCUGUGCUGUCAGGUGCCUGGGCACCAGGGGACUUGUAUGGAACCCCCACUGCUGGUGGAGCUGGUGUCAAGGAUGCUGCCACUGGAUCUUCAUCACUGGUUCUACUGUGGUUCCUGAUGCCUCAGGCUGCAGGUUCUAGCUGCAACUGCUAAGGGGGAGCAGGAGCUGUUUUUUCUGCUCUGGCCCCAUCUGCUGGUGGUUGUGUGGUGUGGGGCACUGCUGCUGAACCACUGAUCCAUGGGCAGUCUUGUGAUCUGGGCCACUGCUCUUGCCGCUCCGUGGGCAGUUGUGCAGGCUGGGCUGCCCUUGCCUCGCCUCGCAGUCAGGUCAUCAAAGUCUGAAGAAGAGUCUGGCAAUUGCUUCCCAAUAGGCUCCUGGUUCUGUUUGUCUUGUUGGACUCAUCGGAGAAAAUGAGACACCAGCACGUGAAGUGUGUUGAAGUAUUCUAUUUGACAAGCCAGACUGGGCACUUUCCCAUAUAUACAGAUGGAACCAUGUCUGAGGCCAACACUAUCCUGAGAAAUCACUUUGCCCCAAAGUGAUGCAAGAUGACCAUUUGGAAAGGCCUCCUGGAAAAGGCGGUGGAAAGGAGAGGAAACACCGGUUUUGGAGCUCUGUUCCCAUUCCUGUGGUUUAUGCUGGCCUGGGCCCUUAGAUUUAAUUCUCUUAGAACUUUUUAUGAGUUAGUAAAUAUGGGUUUUAUCACCCAUUCUGGGGUGGUUUCACAGGGGAGAAAGGGUGGGUCUAUACGACCUUGGCUACCCCUAGACUCUAGUUAGUCUGAGACUCUUCCAGGGUAACUUGUAGGUUGAAGUCAGUUUUUAAUACCCUCCUUCAAAGACAAAGCCAGAACCCUAGGAAGUUUCAACUCUAUUACAAUGUACUUGACUUGAAACUGUCACUAAACGCUGAUAGUCAUAAAAUGCAGAGCAAGCCAGUGAGCGAGCAAGCAUGCAGGAGUGAGCAAGCCACAUCUGUUGAACGGUGAACCCCAAGAGUUCACUUACCCCAAUUCCCUCCACAAAAGGUAACCAUGGAAACCUCAUAAUCCAGAGCAUCAUCUGUCUCCAAGCAAAAUACACACACACACACACACAAGCAUGCCCUAGGAGGGCAGUGUGUGUGUGUGAGUAUGUGUGCAUGUGCUCAUGUUUCACUUCUGUGGAUGUGGGGUGUGUCUGUGUGAUGCUUCGACAGUUUGUGUGUGUGUACAUCAAAUGGAAUCAGCAUGGGCGUUCGCUGCCACAUGCUUUCCGGUUCUGCUCUCAGGGGUGGUGAAAGAGCGUAGGUUUGUCCUAAUGUUUGGGUGCUGUGCUCGGAGCUGGUUAGAGCAUGUGGGCGAGGACGUGCAUUUUCAAUUUUGUGGAGGGCAAUGUGGUGGCAUGGUGUGGGCAUACAGGAAGCUUUGUAACUUAUUUUUUUCCCCUAUCAGAUUUCUAUUGCACGAAAGUGUCCGGGAGUUGGGUUGUCACCAGCUGGGCAGUAUCAUUCCCCUGGGAUGGGAGAACUCAGCGUGGAUCCAUAUUGAGCUUCUCAAAUGAUCUAGUGUGGAUGCAAAUUCAGCAGUUGCUUCCUGGAUGACAGAAAUCCACACUGGCAUCUCCCAGCAGGGGCCUGAACCACUGCCCACAUCCUCCCUGACUCCUCCGCUGAUGGCCCCUCUGCCUCUGGCAGCACCACCUCAGCCUCCAUCUGCUUUCCUCUCGGCCCUGCUCCCAGAAGAAAGCAGUCAGGCUAAAGGGCUACAAGAUAUUUGCUGUCAGGCUGUUGCCUGAGGCUCUGACACCUUGGAGGGAACUUCCAAUGCUGCAUGGGUAAGAGUUACUUUUUGAGUGUGCACAAACGGUGCUGGAGCAACCCGGAGACGGGCUGAAGGGAACCAUCCCAUUGGUGUUGUUCACGUCCCCAUUCCUGCUGGAGCCCAUCCUCGGUCCCUCCAGGAGCUAUUUCCACUCUGGACUGUCCCCACCAAAAUGUCUGAAAGGGCCUCUUGCCCUUGGCUCACCACCUCAUCAAAACAGUUUGGAGAGGAGGGCUCCUUCACCCCAUCCAUGGUGUAGAGGCGAGGCGGGGACUCCAACGGGCUCCCGCUCUGGCUUCCUCACCUGUGCCCCUUCUGGGGGGUGUCUUGAGUUUUUAACAAGCAGCCAUUCAGAAACCUGUCGUUUGAGGUUAUUUACUAUUUCAUUCAACUGCUACUUAAGUGUCUCCCAAACGGCAGCCAGCGGGGUACAGCAAUGAAGGAGGCACUCUUUUUCCCAUGGUGUGGAGGAACCCACAAUACAGUGAGGUAAGGUAUAAUAGGGGUUAACCUGGGGCAUUAUGGGAGCUGAUAAGCGGGGCAAGGGGGCUUCUUAGAGGAACUGAUGUCUGAUCUGCAACCUGAGGAUGAGGGGGGAUUAGCUUGGUAAAGGGAGGUAAUAAGACACUUUCCAACAAAGGAGAAUGAGAUAUUUAUUAAAAAUAGGUGAAACUUUGGGCCAGGCCCAGUGGCCUAGUGGUUAAGUUUGGUGCACUCCACUUUGGCAGCCCUGGUUCAGUUCCCAAGCAUGGACCUCCACCACUCUGUUAGUGGUCAUGCUGUGCUGGGUGGCCCACAUACUGAAAAAUGGCAGAAGAUUCACAUGAAUGUUAACUCAGGGCAAAUCUUCCUCAGCAACAAAAAAAGUAAAACCUGAUAGCAAACGGCAUUCAUGAGACAGAAAAAAUGAGAAAGAGAGAAAGAUGGAGAAACAUAGCAACAAACAAAGAGGCAGACAGAUGGAGAGACAGAGAUAGCCAGAGAGAGAUGAAAGGCUGAGGGUGGAGAGAUGACAGAGACAGAGAGAGGACCAUAGAGUCAUGGACUGUUAGAGCUGGAGGGAACCACAGUGAAUGUCAUUUUACAGUAGGAAAAUAAGGCAAAGAAGGGCAUUUGCCAGAGUCAUAAAAGUGUUUAGUUGGAAUGCCAAGUCAGGAACCUCGAUCUCCUAACUUGCAAUAGGUUUGAGAGAGGAAGAGAUAGAGAGGGAUAAGAUGAGGAGAGAGGGAAGUCAGAGAUGGAGGAGAAGACAGCUAGGGAGAGGCACAGAGAGCUGAGAUUCGCUGGCCUCACACUGUCAGGAUUACCAUGUGGAGUGAAAGCAGAGAAAGUUUAGAUGCUGUUUGAGCUGGGUUUCUUUCUUGUCCUUUCUCCUUUACCAUGCUCUCUCUCCCUCUCUUUCCCCUUCCAACCACAUCCUGCCUACCAGUAGAUGUCAGGGAACUGGUUGCCAUGGCUACUAAAUGGCAUUCAAGCAGGCUGAAUUAUUAAACCCGGGUCUUUUCUUUGAAGCCAGGGCCCCAGUGCGAAGUCCCGUUAGGGGGCGCAAUACAGGUGUGGGUCUGUGCCACGGCUGUCCAAGGUGCACCCUUGCUGGUCCGGUGAAGAGAAGAGAGUGCGUCUUGAGCGCUGAGCUCUUUUCCCCGCUGGGUCCAGCAGAGGCCUGGCAGCAGGGAGGAGAUGCGUCUGCCGGGGUGAAGAGCUGGAGAGACAUGCCUUGUGCACUGAACUGAAUCCCUGCAUCCCAGCCUACUUCUCCCACCCGCUCUGCCUAGAACAAAAGGCACUGGACAGCAGCCACGACUCAUUCAAAUGGAAGAAAACCCAAAACCAACAUUUGUGUUAUGUCUGAAAGGACACCAUAUUGUUCUAAUUAGUGGAAAGAGAUGCAAGAAAUAAAAUCAUAGGUGUGUCCGAGGGGUUGUCCUCGGGCAUCUGGGAUUCUGAUGCCUUCUUGGACAGGUGAAGGGACUCUAUCGUGGAACCACACAGUUGAUGGGCAUGGCCCUCUCCCAAGAGCAUGAAUGGGCCAUCACAGAGAGUCUUGUUUGUGGGCACAAUUCUUGUUUGUUUUGAUGAUGGUGGGGGGUGAGUAUGGAUGCUCUUCUCUCAAGGAGAUUCUACGCCAGGAAAACCAUCAGCCUUCUGGUAUCCUAGCUCUUUAAACUUUUCCAUUAUUAAAAGAAACCCAAACAUUGUAGUGUGGAUGCUCCUGCUUAUAGGCUGAUGGAAGAAGGGCCUCAGUGGCUGGUAACUGCACUGUGUACACGUGUUGGGGUGGAGUGGGGGGCGUGAAGAGUCCAUUUUGGGCUAAUGGAGUCAUUCCUCUUCCACAGAUUCGACAGGUUGUGAGGUUAAUUUCCUAAAGUGGGUAAACCUCUCCCUCUUCCUCCCCACUUUGUGUUUCUUCUCCCUUGAGAGGAGGGCUACUGAUGCCCCAGGCCCUAGGAUUCUGGCUUCCCUUUGGGCAGGGCCCAAGAUCUCCUCCACAAGAGAGGGUCCCACUGUAUUCUGAUGCUUGAACUGAAAAAAAAGUUCUUAAUAAGGGAAACCAGAUCUGUGAGACUUUCCAAAAACCUGUCAGCCUCUGAAAAACUGUGCAGCCUUGCUUUGUUUCCCAGUGCCCAGCUGGAGCACUUUUUAAUAUCAGGGCUAAAGGCCUGGUGUUCCAAAAGUCUAAUUCAUAGAGACCAGACUCACUCCUUUUCAGGGUAGGUGAUAAUUUCAGGAUUUACCUGACCCUGGGGUGGAAGUCCUGGGUCCUCACUGAGUGACCCUCCCAAGCAGACUCUCUGGGGUGAAGUGGGAACUAGCAAAGAGGCUGCACAGGCCUUGGUCUUCACUUGCUUUCCACACCCCAAGCUAAGAGGAAGGGGACAGGAGCCUGUGGCCUUGUGGCUAUUUAGUUCCUUUCUAGGAAUGUUUUCCAAGGUGUGCCAGGCCCUGGGCGGGCACGGUGUACGGGUGCAAAGUUGACUAAAUAGAAUCCCUGCUCUUAGCCAUGGGAAGCUCUCCGCUAAGAAGGAAAGGCUGACCACCCUCCAUCAACUGUGGCAUCCCCCGGCUCAGCCUUCAGAGGUUUUGCUGGUCUGUGUCAAAGCCAGGCCUACAGAACAAGAGCGGCGAGUGAGGGAACCCUUCCUUUGCUCUUUUUCCUCCUUCCCUACUUCUUCCUUUCUGUUUCUCUUCUUGCCCCUUUUGAUCCAUCCUACUGCCCCCCGCCCCCUUUCUCUGAGGCCUUUCUGUGCUCGGAUUCUGAGCUUUUGGUGGAGGCUGGGCAGCUACUUAGAGCCAGCUGGUGAAGCCCGUGGGGGACCUACUUGGACUGAAGAGAUGGGCCGGUGGGACCAAGGUCUUGGCCAGCAAGGGCUCUGGGAAGCUUUUCCGCUGUUUUUGAGGAAAGAUAUGCAGAGAGCCAGAGAAAUGGGAGAGAGGGAGCCCUCGGAGGGAUUCGGGUCCAGAAAGCCUUUG
rnacentral:lncRNA from 1 species